CUAGCCGCGAAGGCCCAAAUCAGUUUUUUAUCGAAUUAUUAGUAAGGGAAGGAGUUGCCGAAAUCCCUAAUUUUUCUUUCUUCACCAAAAUCCCCAAACCUAUUCGACCAGAACCAAAUCCCUAACCCUAAAUUCGUCCCGACGCCGUCUGCGAGCACUUCUGCGACGCCAUAGCCGCCAUGUGACCCGUGUCAAGAGUAGUAGGAGACGCUUCAGUGAAGAAAAGAGUACGGCCAUCCUCUCCAUUUCUUGUUCCACAACAACAAAAGCUGCAAGGCACUGGAGCAGAUCAAGUUAAUUUCUCAGCAGCCAAGAAGCAUUCUACCAUGCAAUGCAAGUCAUAGAGCAAAGCAGAUGUGUUUUGUUGUAGUAUAAGAAGUGGGUGAGGGAGAUGAGAGAUAUUUGAGAGAUCAUGACAAGUGUUUCAUAUGCGCACAAUAUUUUCAUCAUAACACUAGGAAAUAACUUGAGUGAAACUUUUAACAAAUGGAAUCAAAGGCCAUUCCUAUUUA